UAAAUAGAUGAAAUCGUGAACAACUUGUACAGUUUGAAAACACACGAUGACAAGUGACGGAAAAAUACAGUUUUGCAGCAAAGGAGCUGUAGCUACUGAUGUGGCCAUUUGUUCGGAAAUCGGGGCGUCCAUUUUACAAAAUGGUGGUAAUGCUGUUGAUGCUGCAAUCGCUUCAUGUUUUUGUCUUGGCGUUAUAAAUUCGCAUUCUUCAGGAUUAGGAGGUGGUGGUUUUAUGAUUGUUCAAGACCAGAAAACACAGAAAUCCUGGGGUUACGAUUUCCGUGAAGCAGCACCUAUAAGAUCUUCAGCGGAUAUGUUUUGUGGUAAAGAAGACUGUGUCUAUAGCAGUGGUUUAUCGGUAGGAGUACCAGGGGAGGUAAAGGGUUUGGAAGCUGCUCAUAAGGCACAUGGCAGGUUAAAAUGGUGUCAGGUAGUUAGACCAGCAGCAGACAUGGCCAGAAAAGGUUUUACGAUCACAGAAAAUCAAGGCAAGUUAAUUUUUUCUAAUAUAUAUACAGCUG